UCUCAUCGUAGGGCAUGUAUUACAGAAUUUAUGUGAAAUAUUACUAGGAGCGGGAAGGAACUGAAUUUCGUACAAAAUAAAACAGUGGAAGACUACUUGGA